ACAUGUGGCUUUCAUACACCAUAUCUUGACUAAAACUGACUAAAAUACAAUGACCAAGACCAAAUUAGUGGUGUGAAGUCUAAACUUCCUUUUUUUUCACCAUUCUGUUUAGCUGUACUUCCCCUUUUUUUGUAGAUGUUUGCCUUUGAUCCACAACAACAUCUAUGAACCCAGCUCAACUAUAAGACAUCUGUAGGGAGGACAUGGACAAUUAUUUCAUUCAUGCAGGAAGAUUCAAAAUUACAAGAGCCCCACCACUGCCAUGGGUUUUUGGUCCAGGUUAUCGAUACUUCUUGUUCGUCAUUUGGAUGUCCUAUAUUAUGGUCAUAUUUACUCUAACAUAUCUGAAAAUGAGAAUAGAAGAAACCAUGGAUAGAGUCAAUACACUGAUGCAAGGAAAUGUGACUUCAGCAGAGGAAGAUGCAGAGGGGAAUGAUGACUAUUGUGAAGUUGAAGAAAUACCUGAAUAAUUGCAUUUUUUUGAUAAUCACUAACUGAGGGCCAAACUGAUGUUGUGAAAGAAUGUGAAUAUAUGUUUAAGACAUUAAAAAAAAAAUGUCUGAGACAAUUAGCGACCAACAACUGUCUGACUCAACAACAUUUUAACGUUGGCCUCACCUAAUACAUACAGCGUUUUGGAUAAAAAGAGCACGUCCGUUAUGUCCUUGAAGUAUUCAUAUUUCUAUUUGCUACCUCGAGCAUUUUGUGAUCUAUUUAAAUACCAGUGAGGAUUCUGAUACUGGAUUUGGCUCAUUUGAUAUGUAGUUGAAGAUAACAUGAUUACCACAGAUGUUUCAGAACAG